GAAAGGCCCUGUGGGUGUGAAACGGCGCCGUCGCUUCGGACGGGGCUCUGUUACACCUCCUGCCCUGCCGCUAACAUCUUUCCGUAUGUAGCCAAUAUAUUCAUCCCUCAAUAAAGUGCACAGCAUCGGACCGUGUCUUUUAGGACCAUAAGGAGAAGAAGAUUCACUUGGUGACAAGUUGAGAGGUAGUGUCCCACCAGCAGCUGGUGUCAUGAGCCGGCACGCGCGGAGAGCAGAGGAGGCAGAGCAGCGAGCAGGUGAAGGGAGACACAACGAACCCGCAGCGGCGCCAGCAGCAGACAGAGGGAUGCGCUUGCGGUCAGCAAGUCUGACCGCAGCGCUAACUGUAACAGUCAUGCAUCCAUCACUGUGCUGGCCCUGGAGCCUCCAGUAGAGGUGGUGGUGGGCUG